GCCGGUGAGAAGAUAAAACGGGGACCAAGACGAGAUUGAUGGCCAACAGCGCAGGCUGGCCUCGAAAUUUUGAGAUUUGAUCUUCUGAUGGCCGCCGCCGGUGCCCCAGCUCUUCUCACCGUCGUCUCUCAUCAUCUCUUCUCAGUGCCACGUGCUUCUAUCUCAAAAUCCUGCAGCUUGACGCGCUUCUCCUCAUCCGGAGCUUCGCCACUCACUUCUUCCUUCACGCCUGGCUUAGCUACUGUGAGUGUUGCCAAAACUGAAGGUUUCAGUGUCCUUUGUUGUCCACACAUUCCAAGCCCGGGCAAUUACAAGUCGUAGUUUCAAAAGUACUUCUUUAUCCCUAAAUGAAAGAUUGCUCGAUUUUCUCUCUUUUUAUGGUAUUUAUAGAGAUUGUGAAAAACCAAUUUUCAUGCAGAUUCCACCCUUGUACCUCAUUGCAGAAACAAUUUUAAAUGUUUUGUAGAGCUUGCUUAUGUAAUGGCCUUCUACUCAGCAUUUUGGAUUACAUCCAACAGAAGGAAGAUUAAUGAGCAAGAAAAAUCUAUUUCCAUAAGGUGUGAGCAGCGAACCAAGGAGAAUACUGGAUUGAAUGUAUGGCUGGGUCGGUUUGCUAUGGUCGGUUUUGCAACAGCUAUAACUGUCGAAAUAUCAACAGGGAAAGGACUUCUAGAGAAUUUUGGGUUUACAGCACCAAUUCCAACUCUAGCACUGGCUGCAACAGCAUUAGUUGGAGUUCUUUCUGCAUUCUUCAUCUUUCAGUCAGCCUCUCGAGAUUAAUCGCCGUCUUGUUUAAAGUUCAUUGACAUUCAUGCAAGCUGUAUUGCUAAUGUUACUGGACAAGCUCUAUAAGAAGUCUAUACAUUUGUGUUCCCGUUCAUUCUUUGAAUUUCAAUCAGUUUGGUUUCGACGCAUAUGUGGAGCAUGCGAGAAGUUUAACCUCAUCACCGUGAAAGUAUCGAUGAACAUCGACUGAUCUACACUGCAUUGUUGCGAAGCUACUUUAUGGUCCUGCAGACAUGAUUGACUCGCUCGGUCGUUGAACACUUCAAGUUCAUUUGCUUCUUGAAUUCUUGGUGAGAAUCCUAGCUUCCGACCAUGAGAAGAGGAGAUAGAAGAACCAAAUGAGGCCUCACUAUCGUGGAGCAAGUAUUUAGAGGAACAAAUAAAAUGAUAAUUUGAAUCAUAAUAAAGAUGAAUAUUCUAAAAAUCUGCCUCCAAGUAUGUAUAAAUUGUAUUAUGA